rnacentral:rRNA from 1 species
AGCGAACGCUGGCGGCAGGCUUAACACAUGCAAGUCGAACGGAUCCUUCGGGAUUAGUGGCGGACGGGUGAGUAACACGUGGGAACGUGCCCUUAGGUUCGGAACAACACAGGGAAACUUGUGCUAAUACCGGAUGUGCCCCUUACGGGGGAAAGAUUUAUCGCCUUUGGAGCGGCCCGCGUCUGAUUAGCUUGUUGGUGAGGUAAAGGCUCACCAAGGCUACGAUCAGUAGCUGGUCUGAGAGGAUGGCCAGCCACAUUGGGACUGAGACACGGCCCAAACUCCUACGGGAGGCAGCAGUGGGGAAUCUUGCGCAAUGGGCGAAAGCCUGACGCAGCCAUGCCGCGUGGAUGAUGAAGGUCUUA